rnacentral:sRNA from 1 species
GGAAACGAACAACAGCGGCAGCCUUGGAGAGCUUGCUCUCCUCAGGCUGCCGCUGUUGUUGUACUAUCGUCUCCGUAUUUAGCGGGGUUCUGCGUUUCC